rnacentral:rRNA from 1 species
AAACUUAAAUGAAUUGACGGGGACCCGCACAAGCGGUGGAUGAUGUGGUUUAAUUCGAUGCAACGCGAAAAACCUUACCUACCCUUGACAUGCUAGGAAUCCCGCAGAGAUGUGGGAGUGCUCGAAAGAGAACUGAACACAGGUGCUGCAUGGCCGUCGUCAGCUCGUGUCGUGAGAUGUUGGGUUAAGUCCCGCAACGAGCGCAACCCUUGUCAUUAGUUGCUACGCAAAGGGCACUCUAAUGAGACUGCCGGUGACAAACCGGAGGAAGGUGGGGAUGACGUCAGGUCCUCAUGGCCCUUAUGGGUAGGGCUACACACGUCAUACAAUGGCCGGGACAGAGGGCUGCCAACCCGCGAGGGGGAGCCAAUCCCAGAAACCCGGUCGUAGUCCGGAUCGCAGUCUGCAACUCGACUGCGUGAAGUCGGAAUCGCUAGUAAUCGCGGAUCAGCUUGCCGCGGUGAAUACGUUCCCGGGUCUUGUACACACCGCCCGUCACACCAUGGGAGCGGGUUCUGCCAGAAGUAGUUAGCCUAACCGCAAGGAGGGCGAUUACCACGGCAGGGUUCGUGACUGGGGUGAAGUCGUAACAAGGUAGCCGUAUCGGAAGGUGCGGCUGGAUCACCUCCUUUAUGAG